AGUUAAGUGAAAAAGGGCGCACGGUGGAUGCCUUGGCACUAGGAGCCGAAGAA
rnacentral:rRNA from 1 species